rnacentral:misc_RNA from 1 species
GAUGAAGAACGCAGCGAAAUGCGAUAAGUAAUGUGAAUUGCAGAAUUCAGUGAAUCAUCGAAUCUUUGAACGCACCUUGCACCCUUUGGUAUUCCGAAGGGUAUGCUCGUUUGAGUGUCAUUGUACUCUCACACUUCUAAUUCCUUUCGGGAUUGGGAGCGGUGGACUUGGGUGUUGCUGCUUUAGUUGUGGCUCACCUCAAAUAAGUUAGUGCAACUCUUGGUUGGACAUAGUACGGCGUGAUAAGUGUCUUCGCCGGCGCCUCUGUAAGGAGGGUGGCUGACCGGGAGCUCUGUGCUUCAAACCGUCUUCGGACAACAACUGACAACUUGACCUCAAAUCGAGUAGGACCACCCGCUGAACUUAAGCAUAUCAAUAAGCGGAGGA